AGAUGAUGUUACUAACUUUUAAUGAAUCAUUCUGUGAUUAUUCAAAGUUUAAAUUGUUUCAAGACGGGACUGA
rnacentral:snoRNA from 1 species